AAAACUUAUUUAGAACAUCAAAAGAAACUUAAAAUUCAGCAAAAAUUAAUUUUUCAAACUCUGUACUUAUUUUUUAGGCAUUGAAGAUUAUUUGGAACUUGCAGGGACAUUAAUGAUCAUCUCAGGAAAGGCAAGUGAUGGACAACAGCAUCUUUUGAGUUAACCAGGCAGGAAUUUUAAAGGAAUAUUGAUUAAGAAGUGUAGCUAGCUUAACACAGAAUAUUGUAAUAUGAGUUAUAUAUAGACUUAGUGAAUUUAUAAAGGCUUAAUGAAUUUGCCUGCCACAUUUAGUCCUAAUAAUCCUAGACACUGUAUUUUAGGGUCUCCACAUUAUAGCAUACAAAAAAAAAAUUGAACUAAAUAUUUCUGAUGCUUUUCAGGUUAACAAGGCUCCUUAUGCUUUUGCACCCUGAGAAGUAUCUGGAUCUGGCAUUAUUCUACAUUAGUAUUUCAUGCACAUUCCUUAGAAUUUUUGCAGGGAAAUACACAAUUUGGGAAUUUGGUAAAACAAAGUGAAGAAAAUACACAACAGGUUUCUAUACCUACCCGGAAAUGUUUGUCCGAUCUCAUAAGAUAUUACUGUUGGGAAAGAAUCAGUUUUCUGCAUACCAUGCGCAGUUUGUGAUAUUGAUCAUAUAACUAAAUCAAUUAAAG
rnacentral:lncRNA from 12 species